UCGAGUAUGGUGUAACGGCUAACAUUACCGCCUUUCCACGCGGUAGCUCGGGGUUCGAUUCCCCCGUACUCGAA